UCUGCCUAGUAGUGGGGGAUAACUUGCCGAAAGGUAAGCUAAUACCGCAUACUUCCUACGGGAGAAAGCAGGGGACUCUUCGGAGCCUUGCGCUAUUAGAUGAGCCUAGGUCGGAUUAGUUAGUUGGUGAGGUAAUGGCUCACCAAGACCGCGAUCCGUAACUGGUCUGAGAGGAUGAUCAGUCACACUGGAACUGAGACACGGUCCAGACUCCUACGGGAGGCAGCAGUGGGGAAUAUUGGACAAUGGGGGGAACCCUGAUCCAGCCAUGCCGCGUGUGUGAAGAAGGCCUUCGGGUUGUAAAGCACUUUAAUUUGGGAGGAAGGGCUUACGGUUAAUAACCGCUAAGUUUUGACGUUACCAAAAGAAUAAGCACCGGCUAACAUCGUGCCAGCAGCCGCGGUAAUACGAAGGGUGCAAGCGUUAAUCGGAAUUACUAGGCGUAAAGCGCGCGUAGGUGGUUCAGUAAGUUAGGAGUGAAAGCCCCGGGCUCAACCUGGGAAUUGCUUCUAAAACUGCUGGGCUAGAGUACAGUAGAGGGUGGUGGAAUUUCCUGUGUAGCGGUGAAAUGCGUAGAUAUAGGAAGGAACAUCAGUGGCGAAGGCGACCACCUG
rnacentral:rRNA from 1 species